GUGCUCACUUCAGCAGCACAUAAACUAAAAUUGGAAUGUUACAGAGAAGAUUAGCAUGGUCCCUGAGCAAAAAUGACAUGCAAAUUCAUGAAGCAUUCCAAAUUUUU